GGGGUUGUAGCUCAAUGGCAGAGCGUGUGAUUCCAAAUCUCAGCGUUGGGGGUUCGAUUCCCUUCGACCUCA